GCCCGUGUGGCUCAAUGAUUGGAGCCUUGGCCCUCACACCAAAGGGUCGCAGGUUCAACUCCUGGUCAAGGGCA
rfam:Myotis lucifugus cont2.37908, whole genome shotgun sequence.